rnacentral:misc_RNA from 1 species
UCAAACGAUCAACAUCGCAGGGGCUUUAUGGCGAUAAAGCAGCGCUUUUGAUUAGGAACGAGAGUGUAUAUAGUCCGCGUUCAUAUACAUAUAUAUAAACAUAUAGUAAUCUGGUGCACAAAACAAUACAGAUAGUGAGCGAGUUAUAAAAACUCGUAGUAAGCUCAGCGAAUUGCCAAUAAUAAAAGUGUGUGAAGUGCGAAAACAAACUGCAAAUUAAUUUGAAACUGAAAAAGUACCUUUAAAAAUUGCACGUUCGUCGUUUCAUUAGCCGCGUGAAUUGUCCAGUGAAAGGAUGUUCAAGCUACCGACCAUCAGCCUGCUCCUCGUGAGCUGGAGUUGCCUGGUAGCCCUGUCCCAGGCCAAGUCCUACAGCCUGCCCGAUCUCACCACCGACUAUAACAAUGCCAUUCCCGUCGAGGAGGAGGAGGCACAGGAUCCGUUCGCCAGCUGUAAAAUCUACUGCGAGGGCAAUCUGCUGCACACCAUCCAAACGGCAGUGCCCAAACUAUUUGCGGAUUCGAAGACCUUUGUGGACAUGAAGCUGAACUAUUCGCCCGACAAGACCCUCGAGGACUUUGAUGCCAUGAUGGAGGCCAAGAAUCAGACGCCAAGCAGCGAGGAUCUCAAGCAGUUUGUCGAUAAGUACUUCAGUGCACCGGGAACCGAGCUUGAGAAGUGGACGCCCACCGACUGGAAGGAGAAUCCCAGCUUCCUCGACUUGAUCUCCGACCCAGAUCUUAAGCAAUGGGGCGUCGAGCUGAAUAGCAUUUGGAGGGACUUGGGACGCAAAAUGAAGGACGAUGUGUCAAAGAAUCCCGAAUACUACUCGAUCAUUCCCGUGCCAAAUCCAGUGAUCGUGCCCGGCGGUCGUUUCAUUGAGUUCUACUACUGGGACUCCUACUGGAUCAUCCGCGGACUCCUCUACAGCCAGAUGUUUGACACCGCGCGCGGCAUGAUUGAGAACUUCUUUUCCAUUGUCAAUCGGUUCGGUUUUAUUCCAAACGGCGGUCGAGUCUACUACCAUGGUCGCUCCCAGCCGCCACUUCUAACCGGUAUGGUCAAGUCGUACGUGGACUUCACCAACAAUGAUAAGUUCGCCAUUGAUGCCCUGGACACGCUGGAGCACGAGUUCGAGUUCUUUGUGAACAACCACAAUGUCACGGUGAAGAAUCACAGCCUGUGUGUAUACCGCGAUUCGUCGUCCGGGCCGCGACCAGAGUCCUACCGUGAGGAUGUGGAGACUGGCAAGGGGUUUCCCACGGAUGAGGCCAAGGAACUGCAUUUCAGUGAACUCAAGGCAGGCGCCGAAUCGGGCAUGGACUUUAGCUCACGCUGGUUCAUCUCCCCGAGUGGAACCAACGAUGGCAACCUGAGCGCUCUGAGCACCACCUCAAUUGUGCCCGUCGACCUGAAUGCCUAUCUCUACUGGAACGCCAAGUUGAUUGCCGAGUUCCAUUCCAAAGCGGGCAACACCAAGAAGGUCACCGAGUACGAGACCAAGGCCGAGAAAUUCCGUCUGGGUAUCCAAGAAGUUUUAUGGAACGAGGAGGCCGGUGUUUGGUUGGACUACGAUAUGAUUAACCAGAAGCCGCGCGAUUACUACACGCCCACCAAUCUAUCUCCACUGUGGGUGAAGGCCUUCAACAUUUCGGAGUCCGAGAAGAUAUCGGCUUCGGUUAUGGCCUACAUUGAGAGGAACAAGCUGGACAGCUACCCUGGCGGAGUUCCCAACACGUUGAGCAAAACCGGAGAACAGUGGGAUGCCCCCAAUGUGUGGGCACCGAUGCAGUACAUUCUGGUCGAGGGCCUAAACAACCUGAACACUCCCGAGGCCAAGAAUAUGUCACUGAAGUGGGCCACCAAGUGGGUGAAGACAAACUUUGCGGCGUUUAGCAAGGACAGGCACAUGUACGAGAAGUACAACGCCGAUGAGUUCGGAGUUGGAGGCGGCGGUGGGGAGUACGACGUACAGACUGGAUUCGGAUGGUCCAACGGUGUGAUCAUCGAGUGGCUGAGCAAGCACGGGCGCGACAUUUCCAUUGGAUCCGGUUGUGGCUGCCUAGCAGACUAAGAAAAUGCUGUCUCUCUCGCUCUGCGCAAUCUCUAAAUCUUUAAAAGCCGCUGUCUAUAACCAAUAUCUGUACCGUGAACCAUCGACAUCUCGAGCCAAGCACCACGAACCACAGCACCACAGUUACAGCACCGCCAGGAAUCAAGAUCUGAAGUCCGCCAUUCGUCGAGCAUCUGUGUACUGUCUGUUGUCCAUGUAGUAAACCACGUCCAGUCCACGUUUGCACACUCGUGUGACUUGUCCAAAUUCAAGAAAUAAGAACGCAAAGAACGCUAUCUAUCAAGUUGAGGAUUCACGAGUAAUCGUAUGAUGGGCAUCGUGGGCGUGGCAGCUGUGACUAUAGUUGCUCUGAUAGCAGGUCGUGUUCUAUGGUGAGACAACGUGUGCCAAAACAAGCUGUAAUUGCUUCCCAAGUAGUGUGAUUCCCCCCUCCGUGUUUGUGCGUGUGUUGUGAAGUCUGUAGUUGCUAACGUUUUUCGUUGAGUGCGGAGAUUGCAGUAUUAGUUUAUCAUUAUUUGGUAGUUGAAGUGAGAGUUGUAUAUACUGAAUUUAUAUGGGCAUGCCCGACAUUGUUAUUACGUUUUAAUAUCUAGCAAAUAUCUAUACCAAUCCUAGCUCCUCGCAACCAAAUGAAGACACAAAUACAAUUGUUAACAAUAA